ACAGAAGGAUCCGCCCCUUUCCUGGCUGCCUACACAGAAAGCAGCCACGGGGGACUUGCCGAGGACUUUGUCCACCAAGUGAUGAAAGCAUGCAAAUGCCUCCGAAUCAAAGAAUUCAAUCCAUGUUACUCCAUUGCCAUUGGUUAUCAUGUCCUUCAGUCUCCUCAAUCUCUCAGUUCCCUUAUUUCUCGUGACCUUGACAACUUUGAGGAGGACUCAUCAGCCCGUAGAGAUUCCUUCUCCUCGCUGCUCCUCCUCUCCCAGUUCCUGCCCAGGCUGACUCUAUCAUACAAGCUGUAACUUCUGCCAGUCCUAUCAGCCAGCAAACAACAAAGCUGCAGCACUGCCAAGGACAUGGAUCUCUCAAGCUCCUGUUUGGCACAUUUCAGGAAGUAAGGGGCAUGUCUAACCACCACGCUCAGCCAAGCCAAAGAACAAAGGCAGCGACACUCUCUCUGGACCUUGGGGAAAAACACAGCCCUCCCAGGCAGAAGAUGCAAGCAUUCCUGUUGCAGUGCAAUUAGGAGCAGCAAAGAAACUCAGACAUGUGCCCCUUCUGUGUUGGCAACUGAUAUGACAGAACUUCAUGAGGUGCAAAAUACAGGCUGUGUGUGUGUGUGUGUGUGUGCACACUCGGUGCUAUAUGCUGCAGCCCAAGUUUCCGAGUGAUUUUUAACUUGAAGCUGAUGAGAUGGGAUAUUGUGUCUUUUUAAAAAAUGUGACCAACAA
rnacentral:lncRNA from 1 species